CUUUGUGAAAUUCUGCCAUUCCCCCACGGAAAAAUCACGAUUUGACCGGUUUGAGGAAGUGGCCAGACUUUCGUGUAUUCAUUUGGCCAGACUUUCAUAUCCAGAUAAACACGAAAGUGUGCCACAAUUAACACUGUAUUUGCGUGUGAAUUUUUUUUUUUUUUGUAUGACAGUGAAAUACCACCUGUCGUUAGCAUAGGCGCCAAAUUUAUCUUUCAUUGUGGCCAGCUGCCUGUUGCAAAAACACACCAUUACAAAAUCUUUGCAGCUAAUACUUGCAUUUGCGUAUAACGUAUAUACUUAAUAAAACGUAAUUCAACAAAUCUGAGCGAAAUGUUCUGCGAAAAUUUUAACUUAAGCACGCGUGAAUCAAAAACCAGAGGUAUCAUACGAAGCAACGUUCUAGUUACGUCAUCCCGCUUGCCAGCCGAGAUCAUGGAGUAGAAUUUGACGCUUGACGGAGGUGAAAAAGACUCGUGUGGCCUUGCAUGUGACAGCAAAAAGUUCGCUGUCAUGUUUUCCAGGAUCUGGCUUAAUUACGCGCUGUUGGUGGAUAAAGUGCAUGCAGACUUAGGAGGUAACGGAACACGCCUUCCGUUGAACGUUGCUCAGCACAAGUUCCAAGUGGGGACUAGGGACUUUUACGAACUGUAAAAACACUGUAGGGACGACUAGUGCUCGUGUACUACAAAUCUAGUGUCAACGCUAACUACAACGACGAACGAAAGCCCCAUCAACACACAUUUGUGUCCACUGCUGCCAUCACAGGGGCAAGCUUCUGCAAUCCAAGUCUUGUUUCCUGCUCACCACAUCGUGUAGAAGCCUUUGCCCUUGGACACAGCCAUAUGCUGAACAUCCAAUUGAAGAAGUUGUUGCAGGAGCCAUAUUUUUGUAAGGAUCCAUUUCAUGCUCAAAGCAGUCAAGUCAUGUGCAGAAAUGUGGUUGCCUGUGUCUGGAGCACAUGAAGCUGAUACACAAGGGAAGGAGCUGCUGAAGACAUUAUGCUCCAUGGAACGCUGCCCUUGCCCUUUUCCACACGAGUCAAUAUGUUGGAUACUGUGAAAAGUGAAUAAAUUAUUUCAGACCCUGCAGUGGUAACUGAAUGCCUUGCUUAAUUGGAACUUGUGUGGUACUAUGGAGCCUGGAAGUUGUAUAAUUUUUGUGUGGGUUUGUUUGCAAAGACACUGCAACUAAUAAAAGGGCAAAGUUCUUAGUCGCUGCAACUCUCUCUUUCUUUUUUUUUGGAUGUCAUUGCAUCGGUGUGGUCACACAAGUGCUAUAUAUCAGAAACGUUGAAAGAACUUCAUAUUUAAAUGCAGAGAUAUGUAUAGUUAGUCUAUCCCUGUGGGAACCACAUUCAACAAUUAUUGAGUUACACUACUAUUUGAUGGAAUGCCUAGGCCUCUGGCAUAAUCUGAUCAUUACCAGCUUUAUUCAUUUUCUAGUAGCCAUUGGAGGUGCUUCGUUAUGUUCCAUAGACAUACUGAGCAGCCCAUUAGAAUCUCUAAAUGCUGUUAUUACACAGUGUUAUGUAUU